rnacentral:lncRNA from 1 species
UUCUAUAUAAUAACACCCCACCCACCCCUAACAACUCCCGCACCCCUCAAACACGAGUCUCAAUAAGCUGCUGCCAAAUGUGCUGUAACAUUUCAAAGACCACGCACUCCCUGUUCUGACAAACAAAUGCGCACAACCGGAGACCCAGCCGCUGGCAUUCGAUGAACCAAACGUCUGCUUGUUGUCUGACUGACAAAACUUGCAAGGUUAUGUGCAUUGCAUUGUCUUAGGUCCACCAACCCCUCAAUACUUGCAGUUUUCUGCUGACAGCUCGUUCACAUAAUUACUUCGACAGGACAAUUCCAAACAUAUUCCAGAGCAACGGCUACUAGCCUACUACCUAUGUGAAAUUAUUCACAGCGUGUUGUGAAAUUGGAAUAUGUCUUGAGACCAGCACCACAUUUGCAAGUAAAGACUAUUCUGACGAUGGGUUUGGUCUCAACAAUAGAAACGGGUAAGAAGCAACCAGCAACAUCUUUGAAAGAAAUGAACCACUUUCUAGAACUCUUGGGAUUUGAGAUAUCAUUCAGUAUGAACUUGUAUAAAGGAUAAAACCAGUAUGAACUGAUUCAAAGCAAUUUGGGAGAAAAAGACAAUAAUGACAGUUGAGUGACCCAUUCGGUCAAGCCGUCUAGAUCAACAAAACAACGCUUACACACUGGGGAGAAGUUCUUACCUGUAGAAUUUGAUGAUUUCAUCUGAUGUAAUAGUGUGUGAAAACUAUUGGUAAUCGAAUUUCACUGUCAAUAACUCAAUAUACAAGAAAGAAAUAGACAAAAACCUCCUCGAAAAUCAACACAACUUUUACGGACUUCACAAUCUUCUUUUGUCUACUACGGGCAACUCAACUCACGAAGCGCCCAAGGCUGACUUGGUCCCACGCAAAUCAUUUUUGUUUUCUCCUUUUUUACGGAAGCGGCAAACAACAGGCCAGAAGCCAAAAGGCAAGUUCUUGUUUUUACUGUAACCUUUUCUCCUCCAGCAGCAAUAUUUUUUUUUCGUGGGGAAUAAAUUUACGCAGGCAAAGAGUUGGAUUGCGUGUUGCACGCGCUCCUUAAAGAGUAAGUGUGGUUGGCUUCAUCCUCCCGAAGUCUCGGCCUCCUUCCGCUUGGCUAUACAGAACGCUCCUUAUAUGGAUAUUUUUCGCCGAUCACUGAAGACUAAGUGUAUACUAUCCCAUAGACUGCAGUGUCCAACAAAGGGAAGAAUGCUGAUAAGCUUCAUCAAAACAAAAAGUAGAGCGGAAUGCGUGAAUGAUAAUGUAACCUUGUGAAAUUGUAUGGUGCGCACGAAUAUAGACGACAUGACUGUAGAUGAAGCAAGGUUCGUAACAUUGUUUGUCUUUGGUUGAUAACAGGCGGCCAUCUAUGAGCCCCGGCCCUUAAAGUCUCAAAAAAUUUGAAGGAUAUUAAUUUUUAUAAUGUGAAGACUCUAAACCAACAGUUUUUGUAAAGAUGAACAAACACAUGAUUAUCAUAUUUCUGUCAGAAAUGACAACGACUUAUCGGUCUUAAAAACUAUGCUUAAGCGAAAAUUAGUAGAACGGAUGACCAUUAGAUUUCAGAUACGUAGGAGAUAACAGCGCUUUGAUUUUGAAUGAGGAGAACUUCUUCUAAAAGUCUGAUGUAAUCAAUUGCUCUCCUCUAAAAAAAAACACAGAUUGAUUCAAGUCGUUAAAAUUUAAUGGGUCAAAUGUACAGCCUUACCAAGAUAGCAACUUUACUCGAACGACGAGCUCUUACAUCUUCGUAAGCUGGACCUCUGGUUUUAUCGAUCGUGUUUCCUUCGCUUUCUCUAAAAUUAUGAUAAACAAAUUAGUAAUAAAGUGAAUCUUGUUUUAUUCAAAGUGGUUAAUGUGUACUACCCAAAGUCAGUUGGAACAACCUGGUGAAGUUUUGAAAAGGCAACAUUGACCUGAAAUUCACAUAAUUUACUUAAUUACGAUUGAAUACAUUAAAAUUGUAUCUACACUAUUAGCUUGAAAUCGGAAAAUCUAAAAAAAAUAAUUCGCUUACUGAUUGAACACGACGUCUCUCUCGUGCGUUUCGUCGAGCUACUUGAAACGCUGGACGGACGCUGUGCGGUAUGUGAGGAAUAUGGCGAUAAUUGGAUUUAAUGUUACACUUUUUCCCCCUGCACAAAAUUGCUACCUAAUUCAUUAAUAGCUAUUAAAACGCUACAGAAACUUACGUUCCUGUUCCGUGGGCGCCAAUAUCAUCCGAAUAAUGAGUAACAGAUGAUCCAUUGCUGUACGGACGGAAGUUCUCUUCUUGUGUACCCAGCGACGCAGAAUUCCAGUUUAUUCAAGGCGAAAUGUUUCAUUAACCAGCGGAUCUUACUGUCGACUGGACAACAAAUGAUAUACUUAUCGAUCGCUCCACUUGUUUUUAUCCGUUAAGGCAUAAUGGAGGAAGAGGGGAAGACGGAUCGUUAACAGGCGGAAGUGAUAUUUUUGUUUGCACCUGGCUUACCAGCAUGAAUCUCCCUCUUCUUUGAAACGUAUUCCCUCUUAAUUUCAUUUUCGUUUAUUUCGUUUCUGUGCGGUAAAAACCAUAAUGCAAUUGUUUUCUUUUGUUUGCCAUUGUUUAAAACACAUCUGAAUAAAACGCGGCACGAUCGUUAAGUACAAAAUGUUCUUAUUAACGACUGUUUUGCGUUUAAACAUUUGUUAAAUACAGAACUCUGUCCAUGCGGCA